GACAGCAUGUGCAUUGCCUAGAAAGAAAAAAAUAUCUUCUACGUGUGCCAGUCUGACCACUUCUAUUGGGUGACACAUCAGACGAGCGGAUCGGGAGCAAGGUUCACUUGACGAGGAGGCUGACUUACGAGGGACUAAUACUACACCAUCUCCAAGCUGUUUGCACAAUAAGUUAGUGUGGAAAUUUGGCGGUCAACAUGAUUUAGAGACCGCAUUGCAUUACCAAUCAGGAAAAGAUGGUGAGGGGUGAGAGAAAAUAUGGUUGGGCUGGAACCAUUGCAAGAAGAAGACCAGAUUGAGAUGUCUGGGAUUGUGCUCUGCGCUGCGCCAACAUGAGAUGAGUGGCACCGCCCGCUGUGACAGGACACCUGGCAGGGGGAACGUUCCGGUCCUCUGGCCUGGCGUGACUCCAAAUCUGGAGGAUGGUGCACCAACCUGAGAGCUUGGAGGUCGUAUCUGGAGGAUCCUUAGCGGCUGGUUACUCAUGAAGACAGGAAGAAACAGGAGGAAACAGGAAGAAGCAGGAAGAAACACAGGAAGAAACAAACACGCCACGCUACAACCAUGAAAGACCCCUUUUCCAUCUCACCCCAGUCCCAGUAGGAACAAGCAUCUCCCAGACGGAGUGGAUAAAACGUAUGUUGAUGCGUGAAAGGGUAAAACACAUCAAUAGCACCGUGUUAUUCAACGGCGCAGUGAAGUUCUAGUGCACACCGAGCAAUGAAUUCCUAAAUGUUAAAAGUUGUGUCUGUACUGUAGGCGGAGCAAGUGUGGCUUGUGACUCCUGUUCAAGUAUGGCCAUCGAUUGAAGAUGAAUCACUUGUUUAAAAUCUGUGUGUGUUGUGUGGACAUUUUUAUAACUCAACCUGUUCUGCACACCUGUUUUGUAUUAUCAGAAACAUAUAUUCAUAAUGGAAGGAAGUCAAUAAAGUACAUUUUCA